GGGCCUAUAGCUCAGCUGGUUAGAGCAACUGGCUCAUAAUCGGUAGGUCCCUGGUUCAAACCCAGGUGGGCCCA
rnacentral:tRNA from 1 species